rnacentral:SRP_RNA from 1 species
GCCGGGCAUGGUGGUGAGUGCCUAUAGUCCAAGCUACUCGAGAGGCUGAGGCGGGAGGAUCACUUGAGCCCAGGAGUUCUGGGCUGUAGUGGGCUAUGCUGAUCGGUGUCCGUACUAAUUUCAGCAUCAAUAUGGUGACAUCCCAGGAGUAGGGGACCGCAAGGUCGCCUAAGGAGGGGUGAACCAUCCCAGGUCAGAAAUGGAGUAGGUCAAAACUCAUGUGCUAAUCAGUAGUGGGAUCGUGCCCGUGAAUAGCCACUGCACUCCGGCCUGGGCAAUGUAGCAAGACCUUGUCUCU